rnacentral:tRNA from 1 species
GUGGGUGUAGCUCAAGUGGUAGAGCACAUGCUUAGCAUGCACACGGCCCUGGGUUCGAGCCCCAGUACCUCG